rnacentral:tRNA from 1 species
GCCUGGGUGGCUCAGUCGGUUAAGCGUCUGACUUCGGCUCAGGUCAUGAUCUCAUGGUUCGUGAGUUCAAGUCUCGCCUAUGGCU